UGGGGAAUAUUGGACAAUGGGCGAAAGCCUGAUCCAGCCAUGCCGCGUGUGUGAAGAAGGUCUUCGGAUUGUAAAGCACUUUAAGUUGGGAGGAAGGGCAGUAAGCGAAUACCUUGCUGUUUUGACGUUACCGACAGAAUAAGCACCGGCUAACUCUGUGCCAGCAGCCGCGGUAAUACAGAGGGUGCAAGCGUUAAUCGGAAUUACUGGGCGUAAAGCGCGCGUAGGUGGUUCGUUAAGUUGAAUGUGAAAGCCCCGGGCUCAACCUGGGAACUGCAUCCAAAACUGGCGAGCUAGAGUAGGGCAGAGGGUGGUGGAAUUUCCUGUGUAGCGGUGAAAUGCGUAGAGAUAGGAAGGAACACCAGUGGCGAAGGCGACCACCUGGGCACAUACUGACACUGAGGUGCGAAAGCGUGGGGAGCAAACAGG
rnacentral:rRNA from 1 species